rnacentral:rRNA from 1 species
UACAGAGGUCCCGAGCGUUGUUCGGAUUCACUGGGCGUAAAGGGUGCGUAGGUGGCUUGAAAAGUUUGAUGUGAAAGCUCAGGGCUUAACCCUGAAAUGGCAUUGAAUACUGUCGAGCUGGAGGUUUGGAGGGGGGACUGGAAUUCUUGGUGUAGCAGUGAAAUGCGUAGAUAUCAAGAGGAACACCAGUGGCGAAGGCGGGUCUCUGGACAGUUCCUGACACUGAGGCACGAAGGCCAGGGGAGCAAACGGG